UUGUCAUAGCAACAUUUUCGUAGGUUGUUUUUUCUUCAAACAAAAACAAUCCACAAAAAUGGAAGCUGAUGAAGGCAUAGACCAUUACUUACAUGGAGUAGUGGCCAUUUUCAUAUCUCUUGGAAGUGACUGUGUACACGGGAUGUGUGACGAGUUGUUCACGGGGUUAACCGGAUGUUGAACUGCAGCCAAUACACUGACGGACUCGCCAUCCGAAGAAUCGGCAGCGACUGAGAACGCGGAUCAUGGGCACCGAACUAAAACACCAUAAUCUUUUACUGCAGAUGCCUGUGCUGAGCAGGAUGAGAACAAAGGGUUGAUGAAGUGCAAUCCAAUAUACAGAUUGAUUUACUCGAGAGCGUAAAGCAAUAAUCAAUCAAUCGGCCAUUUGCAUAGAGAAGAAAUGUUUCUCACAAUGAAGGUAUUAGGAGUGUUUAUUUGAAGAAGAUUCUGACGUUCGUGCUUUGUGAGGUGGUGCUUCGGACAGCGGCUAGAACCGAUCCGCGUAAAAUUCUUGAAAUUACCACAAUGAGCGUCCAAAACUUCACUAUGUGUAUGGCAUUCGAAUGCGGACAUCUAUUUGUAGCGAGAUGAAGAAUUGCACCCAACAUUGCCGUCGGAGCGCGUGUGAAUACAGGUGUAAACCAUUUCGAAGAAGGAGUCAGGGCUGGAGAUGUGGUUAGAAGUUCGGAUAUAUAACCGGCGAAAUGGGACAGGGGAUGUUCGCUGGCGUAUCACCUGAAUGAACGUAUCGCUGAGCUGUGCCGCAAUAUUGACUUCUGGUGAGCUCACCCGAAAUUCAAGCACAUUCCAGACUCAGGUCAUGACAUAUACCGUUUUCGAGACCAGAGCAUGCACCCCAGGCAAGUGCACACACCAUGAUUUGUGUCGCCGCAAUACACGGGGAAGAUUCGCCACGAAGAGCUAUGCCUAAGAACAUCACGGAAAGGGUCAAAGUGGUCAUUCCG